GGUAAGAACCAUUAUGGAAGUAUGUGGCUCUUGUGGUAAAUGUUAAAGGAACACUCCCAGAACCAGAAGCAUCUACAUACAGGAGAAUCCGGUCUGCUCUGCUGAACGAAGCAGGACUUCUCCCCUACUGAGUGGAGUCAUGGUUGGGCAAGGCUUAACUCAAUGAAGGCAUAUUUAUAAAUGAUCUUGAACUAUGCAUUGAAAACCAUGUUUCAGUGGUUGUAGAUGACACAAAACUCCUAUAAAGUAAUAAAAUGUGAGCAGGCUAUUUCUUUGCUGCAGAGGGAUUUAGAUAGAUUAGGGGCCUGGGCACUAAAAUGGCAGAUGAAAUUUAAUGUAGAGAAAUGCAAAGUUAUGCACUUUGAGAUAAAGAAUUUACACACUAAAUGGUAGUGAAUUAGACAUAAGCACACGAGAAGGACUUGGAAAUUGUUAUAGACAACAAAUUCAAUCGGCAGUUGCUAAGGCCAGUAAGGUUUAGUCAUGUAUAAAUAGGGGCAUAAUUUCUCAGGAUGAAAAUAUAAUUUUGCCUAUUUAUAAAUAGCUGGUAGGACCACACCUUGAAUAUGCUGAGCAAUAUUGGGCACCCGUUCUAAAGAAGGAUAUUAUGGCACUAGAAAAAGUGCAGAGAUGGGCUACAAAAUUGGUAAAAGGGGGGCGGAGCCUGACAGCUGAACAGAGCAGUCGCACUUCAGACUCCAGGCCAAACCGCUCCAAAUCAGUUAAAAAUACUGCAAUUAUCUGCACAGUGUCAGUUCUCCAGCCCCAACGAAAGGGGUAUACCAUAGAGAAGAAACCAAAUCGAUACCCUGAACAAAACUGGCGACCGCAACCAGGGAAUAGACCUGAGCCCUACUUGCAGCCUAUUCAGGAGGCACGGGGGAGACGGCCGAUCCCCCAGCCGACUGAAGCCCACUUUGCUGGAGGUCUCCGCGGAAACACAAUCUCUUCCCCCUCCCCCCACUCCUGGGGGUUAUCCUGGCAACCAAAGCAUGUAGCCCAAGAUGGAGAUACCAACCUAGGUUUACCAACACCGCAGGGAUGUCGACACCCAACAUGGCGGAAGCCAUGCGGGCCCCAUCACCUGAGCCCUGCCUGCUCCCUCUGUUGGAAAGGUUAGACCGACUAUUUGCUGACUUCUGGGCCAAGAUAAUCAGCCGCGGGGGCACCCCGGGAGAAGUCCCAUCAGCCCCAAGGGAACUCCACACAGAAGCCCGCAGCGCCGAUACGGACCCCGAGCGGGACCUGUGCAGCGGGAAGCCUGACGCAAGAUCCGGCAAUCCUACACUUGACCACGGGUGAGUCGCCUAAACACUCAACAGGGACUCAUCCAGGGGCUACCCCCGCACCACUCCUCCCUCAUGCAUACAGUCCCAUCUGUGAGACGACACCAUGCUGGAGGGCCCCGCACUCUCAGACAAGACAUACUUCAGAACAGCUCCCCUACAACCCCACGGUAUCACAAGGGACUUCCCAAUACUCACUGCUCAAAUGCACCAGGAGAACCAGUGACGGAAAAGGGCCGGUUCAAUGCCCGAAGAUCAGGGACACUCGCUCCCUGUACAACUCCUAAUGGCAACUCCAGCACCAUCAAGACACCAAGGGGAGCAGGGGCGACCCAUCAAACAGGCUCACAUACCAAUGUGGAUCCAUGCCUCUGAGUUAACGGAAUGCCACUAACCGGCAUCGGCUAAGCACCCCCAGGCGGACACUCUAACCCUAGGCUCACUCAAGCUAUUUAUUGGGACUGAUAUGGUGCACCAUCCUCGGCAACAGCACAACCCAUGGUACACAUUAAGCUCUAACACUCAAGUGCCCGCAAGAUGCAAUUUAUUUCUACUUUAAUAAGCCUGUGUAAAUUUUUCUGUUGUGGGUCUUCACCAGUCUUGCACUACCCACACUCAUUGAGCACCUGUCAUUAGGUAUCUCCUCACUUGAAUAGGCAUUACUAGAUGCUCACGGUCUGACACAUUAGCGGUUACACAUACACAUACUUGCAACCUACAAGUCUAGACUCCAGCUAUAACGCCCUUACACUAAUCUGGUAUCAGCAACCAGUGCCUGCUCCUCAAACUUUAGUCUGAUGAUUCCACACUAGCACUGUGUUGCUCCAACUUGUAUAAUUAAUAUAAAAAUGUGCAGAAUAAGCUCUACUGUUAAGUGCUCGAUGUGAUUACAUUUGUCUAUGUUGCUUACCAGUGUGAAAUGCCAAUCAUCCAAGCACAACC